CUAGGCAUAUUCAGUUCACACUUAGAUAAUCUGUCCCUCACCCAAAUGACUUACUCUACUCUUCUUAGGGGAAGGUCUGACCCCUAAACUAUAACGAAACACAGCACAGGAUAUCAGCUACUUGACUGUGUUCCAAAGAAAAUCUAUUCAACACAGUCGUGAGAAUCCCUGAAUUAGUAGAAUUCUUUUUCUAAAAUUAGGAGAGAGAGAGAUAAAAUGGACAGAAUGGAAAGUGAGCUUUCAGGUGUUUACAGAGAACUGGAGGAGCGGCAGUAAAACAGGAUUCUUCCUUCUGUGGGAGCAAAAGAAAAGAUCAGGACCAUGAGACUUCCAGAUCAGUUCCUUCAAAAUGCAAAGAGGCUCAACGUGGAUAAUGAACAUGGAAGGCAAGCAUUGCCCAUUCCCCAGUUUUCUGUCUUCCCUGGGUGACAGAUCAUUAAACUGGAUCUGAAAAUGCA